AGAUAAAUAUAAAACGAACUAAGGAUCGUCGGCGCUAAUGUCGACUGAGAAACGCCACCUAGAUCAGAUCAAACUCCUUGAUACUUGGCUCCACCUGAACCACCUGUUCUUCUCCUGUGGGGGGGUGUGAGACAGCAAGAGUGAGCUCACAUACGUUCAUCGCUCAACAAGUUGUGGGGAAUAAUGUGGCAUGAACUCACCAAAGGUGGGAGUUCAUGUAGUGUAAGGCUGAUCAAUGAAAUAAAGGCUGAAGCUGAGCAUUGCUUUUAUAAGUUGGUCAAACUUUUAUUAGCAAUUACUAGGUGUAAGUAAAUACCAAACCUUAAUAAUAAUAAAGAAAAGUAAUAGUAAAAUAAUCCCAAAUGCGAUGCAAAUGUCAAAUUAAAUUUAAGUUCCAUAAAUUAAUCAUGUGAGGGUCCGAGCCGCUCUUGACCGUGAGCACGGCUAGUAUACCAGUUUUACACUCUGCAGAGGUUGCGCAUCUUUACCCACAAGUCAUGUUACCCAUCUGCCAAGAGAUGGCCAAUCCCAUACACCUCUACCGAGGAGGCGAGGCAGGGUAACACUACGAGGCCUUUACAAAGUUCCACUAGCUUCAGAAAUCCCGCUACAGUUUAUAGGAAGCUCCAGUGCAGGGUUCUUGCCUGACCGCCAUCGCAGCAAAAUCAACCCAAGGACCUCCCUACACUGACCACUCCCCUACUGCCCUUGCCCCUUUCGGGUAAGGAAGACCUCCACUAGCUUUCCUAGUUAAUCAGCCAAGGGCGUCCCAUUAUACCCUUGUGGUAGCACUGUUUUCCCGGGUGGUCGCUCCAUGUUCCCAUUAAUUUAAUGAUCUUAACAUGAAUAGUAAUAAUAACAAGAUAAUAAAAGAAUAAUCAUGAAUAUUGUAUCUCCAUACCCAAUCCACAUAAAGCAAUAGCAAGUACUACCCAAAAAUAUUUCAGGGGUGAACAAGGUAUAGAGGCAAUCAAAACUGGGGUAACAUAAAGGCUCCCAUCAAAAUUAACCUAUGCAGAUCAUUAAAAUUAAUAAGAACAUGGCUGGGAAAAGUAAGUGAUCAAGGGCACAACUUGCCUGGCACUUGAGAUUCCAGGUACCAACUUGCUUUUCAGAUGACACGAGUCCUCGCGCUAGUCGUUGCAACCCAAGCAAACAUGAUAUAGACAAAAUUAACAUCACACCAAACAUAAGAACAACUGCAUAAUAUCGAUCUACGCGUUGCUAUGAGACUAACGCAACUGGAACGAGUCAAAUCGGAGUUAAAACGAAGGAGUUAUGAUUUUCCUAAGGUUUCAUGUGUUUGGUAUAGGAUUAAUUAGGAAAUAAGUUUUAAUAUGAUUUUCAUGUCAAACCAGAUGUACUAUGUGAUAAACAGUAAUACUAUAGAUUUAUAGGAAUUGGAAUGGACCAAUUUAGACUCCAUAUGAAUUUUACAUGAAUUAAACAAAUUCUAUCAAUUAUUUUCAUAUAGAAAUUCAUUUUCUAAAUGAUUUUAUAUGUUUUUAUCACUGUCUGGACAGGUCCUCAAAUCCUAGAGACAACAGGGGCUAAUCUACUAAAAUUCCCGAGACUCAAAGCUACAGCCGCAUGGACGGUGGGUUGUUUUCUUAGAAAGUCGGGGUCUCUUUUACAAAACCAGCUCAGCGAAGGGGUAAGUUCUAAUCUGGUCCGUCCGAUCAACAACGUGUGGCGCAGAUUAGAUAUAACUCAAACGAAACGGUAAGCGCUGUUAGCCGUGGGAUCCGAGAUCCACGGCCAUGAUUUAAUGAAGCUAGAUCUAGUCUGAGCCUUGGGAUGGCAGAUCUACGGUUCCUGUUGAUCGCGCGAACGGGUAAGGAAAUACCUAAUCUCGGCCGCCCGCGGCCGAUCCGACGGCCAAGGUUUCCUAGAGCAAAGCGGUAUGAAGAGAUUUAAUCUGGAUCGCACGCCCAGAAUCCAACGGCCAUCGUGGAGUGCCCAUUUUCUCCCCCAUCCCCGACCGGCGGCGCCCCAUUCACGGCGGCGCCCUACGCCGUGCACCCCGUCCGACGGCCACCAGGCCCUAAAUCCUAUACCAACCCGUGCUACGCGCAGAGUAAGACGAGGCGAAGCUAUGGGGUAGCACAUUACCAGCGGGGAAGGCGGUGGCAUGGCUAGUCACGGCGGCAUGCGGCCCUGCGGCGGAGCUCCAUUCUCCCAGCCAAACUCGCAUCAUCCCACGGGCCCUGGGCAUGAUCCCUGUUGACCGGUGAAGCGCCAAAGCCAUCCUCCAGUGCCCAGUUGGCCACACAGGCGGGAAUCCAUGGUGGCGGGG
rnacentral:lncRNA from 1 species